AGACAGAGUGUCUGUCCUUAGGCAAAUCUUCAAAGUACAAACAAUAUAAAGCAUUAUUUAUACCCUUUUGUUACAUAUAGAUGUGUCCUGUUUAUACAUUUUUCUUCCCAUUAUCUUACUUGUGAUGAAUGUUUU